GAUUGAACGCUGGCGGGAUGCCUUACACAUGCAAGUCGAACGGCAGCGCGGACUUCGGUCUGGCGGCGAGUGGCGAACGGGUGAGUAAUGUAUCGGAACGUGCCCAGUAGCGGGGGAUAACUACGCGAAAGCGUAGCUAAUACCGCAUACGCCCUGAGGGGGAAAGCGGGGGAUCUUCGGACCUCGCACUAUUGGAGCGGCCGAUAUCGGAUUAGCUAGUUGGUGGGGUAACGGCUCACCAAGGCGACGAUCCGUAGCUGGUUUGAGAGGACGACCAGCCACACUGGGACUGAGACACGGCCCAGACUCCUACGGGAGGCAGCAGUGGGGAAUUUUGGACAAUGGGGGCAACCCUGAUCCAGCCAUCCCGCGUGUGCGAUGAAGGCCUUCGGGUUGUAAAGCACUUUUGGCAGGAAAGAAACGGCGCCGGCUAAUACCUGGCGUAACUGACGGUACCUGCAGAAUAAGCACCGGCUAACUACGU
rnacentral:rRNA from 1 species